UUCCCUUUUAACUUGGAAGUUUUUCAGAUGUAAUCCUGGAUCUUUCUGAACUUCAGGAUCAGCUGAUAAUAUCCAGGAAGAUCUCUUCACCAAUUGAAAACUGACAACAACUUCACACAGUGUAUGAUUUUCUCCUUUCACGUAAAGUAUGUGCAUGUACGCAAAUGAUGUGGCACAGGAAAUAAUGAAAAGGUUGAAAAGGUUGGUGUAUGAAGAGAGAAUACUUGGAGACAUACCUGCUCAUGAACAAAUGAAUCUUAGGUUUUGUUUCUUUACAGAAAGAAAAACACUUUUUGUUAGAACAAGAUAUCACAGAGGAUGAACACCAAGAGGAGGCCAGUCAUAUGCUUGGCUUCCUUAGGCAAACGUUGGCUCAAACACCAAAAUAGUCAAAUCAGAGCUCUUCUUUCAGACCUCUUAACGCUUUGGUUGCAGAUGUUAUCAAGACAUCCACAAAGUAGGCUAUGUUCUUUAGUAUUGGUUACAGAAGCAGAUGUUAAAUUAAUUAAGUCAGUAUAUUUUCCAAGUCUGAUUAAGAUAUGUUUAUUUCUGCUUUCACAAAACAGCUGUGAUGUAAGUACUAAAACUGGUGUUGUAAGAAACCCAAAAUAAAAUUAAAAUCAUUGUAUGU